rnacentral:lncRNA from 1 species
AUGCUAGUUUAUCCCAAUAACAUCCAUUCCCCACCCAAAGCUGUAAGUGGAACCCAAAGUAUGGGUAGAGUUCUUUUGAUGUCGAUGCUGCCUGCUUGGAACCCGGUGGUAGGAAACCUAGUAGGAUAUGAGCACUACUCCUUUAGGUUUUUGCUUUUUUGCCAGUGUCGGUGCUUGGUUUUGUCCUAUGAACACAGCUUUCGUUUCCGUUCCGCAGGCCAUUAUGUAUGCAAGAGGGCCUGGCCCUUUCCUAGGUUCGCCUUGCAGGCUGUACCCCAUGGAUCACCCUUCAUAACCAGUUAUGGGCUAUGGGCCACUUCCCCUCCUCCACCAGCUCCUCCACAUACUCAGUUUGGACUCGGAAAGUGGCUACCAGCUCAUUCUUCUACAAGGUCCUGAGACAAACGGGCAUUUCAUGUCUUCACGUCCUAACUGAAUGCAGCUCCGUUCUUCUGAAUUUCUGUCAGGAUUUCUCCCUGGAAACAAGCCUGAAUCUGGAACAAACCAUCCACGGCAUCUAUGAUGUGAUGUCAUGAGACCCCUCAAUCCACGGGUCCUUUAGUAAAAUACGUCUUGCUCAGAUACUGUCUGGGAAAGUGAGGAAUGAAACACGGGAACAGCCCAGAAAAUGCAAGGGCCUGUGCUGCUGACUGACCGGCGCACCCAGGGAAGCCACCCAGCGCCCCCUCCUCAACACUCAGUGCAACAAGGCAGCUUCUCUCUGGCGACUCAGGAGACACCAAGUUGCUGCAAGGCUCCCAAGGUCUCCCCUGGGUCGGGUUUCAGAACCUGCUGGAAACGCAGCUCUCGUCUCUGUCCUGAGGCAGUGGCAGAGGCCCUGAGUCCUCUGGGGGCGACAGAAGCCCUUCCUGCUCUGAGGUGCCCUGGGUCAGAAAAGCUGAUGGGGCGCCCUCUGCUGGCCAUCACCGCACACCCAGAGGAACCGGCCCCUCCUAGUUUGUAGUGCUUGAGCACUCUCUGCUGGCCACCAUGGGAAUUCCUGCAAUGUUGAGGCCCUGGUCGCUCAGCUGAGGGAUAGAAGGUGUUCUGGGCAACUAAGCCUGUUCUCCACAUUGGGAAGGGUCUUGGUGACAGGGCCUGGGAAACUAAGAAAUCUUUUCCUUCUUUCUAGUGAGUGAAAAAUGAAACCACAUUUAUUUAUGUAAUGACAUCAUUUGUAAUGCUUUAAGCAAUGUUCACAGAAAAAUAGCCUGCCAAUUUACACAUACUGAACAAGAGGUAAUUGUGUUUCCCACCAAAAUACUUGGGUUAGAUAAAGAAUUGACACCUUUGAGAGAGAGAUACCGGAUUCCAGCUAUGGAGUGAGUAAGUCCAAGGGAUACAAGGUACAGCCAAUGGAAUAGAGUCAAUCCUGUAAUAAUAAUGUUGCAUGCUUUCACAUGAUAGCUACACUUGUGGUUAGGUACACAUAAUUUAUAGUCAUAUGGAAUAAUAUGAUGUAUGCCUAAAACUAAUACAACAAAUGUGUGAACAAUAUUUCAAUUAAAAAUCGACAUCCUUUACACUAUUUUUAGUUUCUCCUUCUUUGCCAUUAAAAAAUCAUUCCUGGGGUGCCUGGGUGGCUUAGUCGGUUAAGCGUCCAACCUCGACUCAGGUCAUGGACUUGCAAUCCAUGAGUUUGAGCCCCACGUCCCGCUCUGUGCUGACAGCUCAGAGCCUGGAGCCUGCCUCAGAUUCGGUGUCUCCCUCUCUCUCCCCGCUCCCCAGCUCGGGCUCUCUUGAAAAAAGAAAAAAAUAAACA